GCUCCCAUCCAGGAAGGCGCAGGCGCGUAAAUUACCCAUUCUGAUACGGGGAGGUAGUGACAAUAAAUAACAAUACGGGGCCCAUCGGGUCUUGUAAUUGGAAUGAGUACAAUUUAAAUCCCUUAACGAGGAUCAAUUGGAGGGCAAGUCUGGUGCCAGCAGCCGCGGUAAUUCCAGCUCCAAUAGCGUAUAUUAAAGUUGUUGCAGUUAAAAAGCUCGUAGUUGGAUUUCUGGUAGGAGCGACCGUGCCGAACUUGAUUGUUCGUGUAUUGUGUUGUCUUCAGCCAUCCUCGUGGAGAACUUUUCUAACAUUAACUUGUUGGGAUUGGGACCCGCGUCGUUUACUGUGAAAAAAUUAGAGUGUUUAAAGCAGGCAUUAGCUUGAAUACAUUAGCAUGGAAUAAUAAGAUAGGACUUUGGUACUAUUUUGUUGGUUUGCAUACCAAAUUAAUGAUCAACAGGAACAGUUUGAGGAUAUUCGUAUGAACAUGUCAGAGGUGAAAUUCUUGGAUUUUGAUCAGACGAACUACUGCGAAAGCAUUUAUCAA
rnacentral:rRNA from 1 species